rnacentral:rRNA from 1 species
CGAGUGGCGAACGGGUGAGUAAUACAUCGGAACGUGUCCGCUCGUGGGGGACAACCAGCCGAAAGGUUGGCUAAUACCGCAUGAGUUCUACGGAAGAAAGAGGGGGACCCGCAAGGGCCUCUCGCGAGCGGAGCGGCCGAUGACUGAUUAGCCGGUUGGUGAGGUAACGGCUCACCAAAGCAACGAUCAGUAGCUGGUCUGAGAGGACGACCAGCCACACUGGGACUGAGACACGGCCCAGACUCCUACGGGAGGCAGCAGUGGGGAAUUUUGGACAAUGGGCGCAAGCCUGAUCCAGCUAUUCCGCGUGUGGGAUGAAGGCCCUCGGGUUGUAAACCACUUUUGUAGAGAACGAAAAGACACCUUCGAAUAAAGGGUGUUGCUGACGGUACUCUAAGAAUAAGCACCGGCUAACUACGUGCCAGCAGCCGCGGUAAUACGUAGGGUGCGAGCGUUAAUCGGAAUUACUGGGCGUAAAGGGUGCGCAGGCGGUUGAGUAAGACAGAUGUGAAAUCCCCGAGCUUAACUCGGGAAUGGCAUAUGUGACUGCUCGACUAGAGUGUGUCAGAGGGAGGUGGAAUUCCACGUGUAGCAGUGAAAUGCGUAGAUAUGUGGAAGAACACCGAUGGCGAAGGCAGCCUCCUGGGACAUAACUGACGCUCAGGCACGAAAGCGUGGGGAGCAAACAGGAUUAGAUACCCUGGUAGUCCACGCCCUAAACGAUGUUAACUAGUUGUUGGGAAGUAAAAUUCUCAGUAACGCAGCCAACGCGAGAAGUUAACCGCCUGGGAAGUACGGUCGCAAGACUAAAACUCAAAGGAAUUGACGGGGACCCGCACAA